UACCUGGAUGCCUAACUACUUACCUACAUACCAGGCUAUCUAACUAUGUACCUGGUCUUCAAACAUGGCUGCCUAACUACCUAGCUAGCCCCCGACCUACCUGGCUUGUCACCUACCUACAUAUCUGGCUUCCUGAUCUACCUACCUAGUUACCUGGCUACCUACCUACCUGCCCGUUUACUGUGCAGGACACCAAGGAGGGCAUUAUUACAGUUUGUGGGCCUAUAGAUGGGAAGAUUGUGUAGAGGAGGGCACUGAAUAUAUGCAGAGUCUGACAUGUUUUUCCUGCCGAUGUUAAGAUAUCCACAUGGCGGUCUUAUCCGGACGGAGAAGAAAAGGAAGGAGGACGCCGCUGAUCAGAAAAGACGUAAUUCCAAUCAGAAAGCAGCACUAUCAAAUAGAACUCCCGUGAGGUCACACAUGUGAUGUCAUGACCUUUGUCAUCAGUGAGGGGCCUAAACUGUAGGAACCUAGGAAUACACAUUCAUACCCGCCUGUGACUGGUAAGUAUCACAUCUUUUUGGUCUUUAGUGCAGUUCCAUGUGCAUUUCUAUAAUAAACAUGUAACUAAUCUCUCUUUUCUUUUCCUAUCUUAGAUGCACACCUUCCAGGCUGUGGGGCAGCACAUACACGGACACAUUGGCCCAAAUUCUAGAGGUAACCUCCUUUAGUAUGCCCAGAGGAAGGGCAGUACAGUAGCCAUGGAUUCCCUACAGGUUUCCUCCCCUCUGGAGGUUUUUCCUGUCCUGAGUUAGUUACUGUCCGCUCUUUGUGAGUGAUGGAGGUUACAUAAAAUCCCUACACAAACAUUUUGGUAAAUAAUAAAUAAAGUUCCCCUUUGUUUAAACUGUU